CCCAAAGCUGAAACUCUUAACCACUCCUUUGUUUGACUUCACAGAAUUCUAACAUAGGAAGAGAUGCUAGAAAUAAUCUACACCAACCUUCUUAUUUUUCAGGAGUGGAAACUGAAGUCCAGAGAAGCCAAGUGACCAGGCCAGGCACUCGGCAGUCCUCUCUUUGCUGUGGGAUCCUCAGUGCUUCAUAGGCACGUGCCAACACAGUAUGGACCCAAGCCCAGGGCUGAGGACGAGGGAAAAUGUCUGGACCACUGUUGGCCUAACAGUUCACAGAAAGCUGCCACUGUGCACUGGAAAGAUCUGUUUCAGGCUAUUGCCUCGUCCCUUCGGCAAGACAGGAGUUAUCUGAGCUCCUCUCUUGCCAUUUGCAGGAAUGAGAUGCCUGAGUAGCCCAGGAGGAGGCUGCCAAGGGGCACAGCAGAGUUUGCCUUGAAGCCACAGACCGGACCUUAAAUUCCAUCCCAUCUGUCUGAUCAGUCACCGAUGCUCCCCAUGCCUCAGUUUAUCAAUAAAAUGAUGUGUUGUGA
ensembl:lincRNA